GCCGGCUUAGCUCAGUUGGUAGAGCAGCGCUUUUGUAAAGCGAAGGUCGCGGGUUCGAGUCCUGCAGCCGGCG
rnacentral:tRNA from 1 species